GACGAACGCUGGCGGCGUGCUUAACACAUGCAAGUCGAACGGAAAGGCCCUGCUUUUGUGGGGUGCUCGAGUGGCGAACGGGUGAGUAACACGUGAGUAACCUGCCCUUGACUUUGGGAUAACUUCAGGAAACUGGGGCUAAUACCGGAUAGGAGCUCCUGCUGCAUGUUGGGGGUUGUAAAGUUUCGGCGGUUGGGGAUGGACUCGCGGCUUAUCAGCUUGUUGGUGGGGUAUUGGCUUACCAAGGCUUUGACGGGUAGCCGGCCUGAGAGGGUGACCGGCCCCAUUGGGACUGAGAUACGGCCCAGACUCCUACGGGAGGCAGCAGUGGGGAAUAUUGCACAAUGGGCGGAAGCCUGAUGCAGCAACGCCGCGUGCGGGAUGACGGCCUUCGGGUUGUAAACCGCUUUCGCCUGUGACGAAGCGUGAGUGACGGUAAUGGGUAAAGAAGCACCGGCUAACUACGUG
rnacentral:rRNA from 1 species